CAUGCGUUCUCAACACGUGCAUGGUAACUUUAAGGCAGUAGUAUAUUAGGUGUAUUUGGGUGUAACGUGACUGACAGAAGCGGCCGUGACACAGGCGCUUAGUAUUGAACUGCAGUAUUUAGUAUCGCUUAUAGGCUUGAUAUUGUUCAAUUUCAGUCAGCCUGUUGACCGCUAAAUCUGUCACUGCACGAGGGAGACAUGGCAGAACGGAACGGCCUGCAAAGAUUGGAGGCUUACGAAGGUUAUCAAGAUCAACGUGGGAUCUUCGGCCACCGGCUGGUUUUGACGGGGGUUUAUCACUAUUGUUGAGAAAGAAAAUGGGAGGAGCUGUACUUGCAUGACAGGGAAUGAUGAGAAGACGGCGAGAGAAACAUGCGCAGAACAACAGAUCGUCUUUCUAAUUCAAAUGUAAAAACAAAUACAAUGUGGGGAAUAAAUCCUUUUUCUUCUGCUA